CCUACGGGGGGCAGCAGUGGGGAAUAUUGCACAAUGGGGGAAACUCUGAUGCAGCAACGCCGCGUGAAGGAAGACGGUUCUCGGAUUUGAAACUUUCUUUUUUAGUGAAGUAUAAUGACGGUAGCUAGGGAGCAAGCCACUGCUAACUGCGUGCCAGCAGCCGCGGUAAUACGUAGGGGGCAAGCGUUUUCCGGAAUUACUGGGUGUAAAGGGAGCGCAGGUGGGAAGCUAAGUCAGCUGUGAAAGCUACGGGCUUAACUUGUAGAGUGCAGUUGAAACUGGUUGUCUUGAGUGAAGUAGAGGUGGGCGGAAUUCGGGGUGUAGCGGUGAAAUGCGUAGAUAUUCCGAAGAACACCGGUGGCGAAGGCGGCCAACUGGGCUUUAACUGACGCUGAGGCUCGAAAGUGUGGGGAGCAAACAGGAUUAGAUACCCCAGUAGUC
rnacentral:rRNA from 1 species